rnacentral:rRNA from 1 species
UACGUAGGGAGCAAGCGUUGUCCGGAAUUAUUGGGCGUAAAGAGCUCGUAGGCGGUGUGUCACGUCGGCCGUGAAAACCUGCAGCUUAACUGUGGGCGUGCGGUCGAUACGGGCAUCACUGGAGUUCGGCAGGGGAGACUGGAAUUCCUGGUGUAGCGGUGAAAUGCGCAGAUAUCAGGAGGAACACCGGUGGCGAAGGCGGGACUCUGGGCCGAUACUGACGCUGAGGAGCGAAAGCGUGGGGAGCGAACAGG